rnacentral:lncRNA from 1 species
GGAAAUACUUUACCCCCUUUUCAAACAGGCACACACACAGAAUGCAUGUCAGCUAGGUCUGUGAUCCAGUGAUUCAGCCAGCUGAGGCAGAAGAAUCACAAGUUCAAGGUCAGCCUCAACAACUUAGUGAGACCCUGGCUCAAAACCAAUUGAAAAGAACUAGAGGCACAGCUUAGUGGUAAGCACCCCUGGGUUAGAUCCUCACUUCUCAUUUACCAGCUGCCUUCUAUGUGCCAGUGUCUAUGCUAAUUGGUUUAUAUGCAUUCUUUUAUAAUUCUUAAAAUGAACAUAUGCUGUAUUAUUAUUCAUAUUUUACUUAUGAAUAAGCUGAUACUUGGCAUCUUACCCCAAAUCACAUAGCUCAUUAGUGGUGGAGCUGAAAUUCAAAAGUUAAGUUUAUGAUCCCAGGGCUCAUGUUAGACUGCCUAGACUUAUUGUUUUCCAUGGAAAACUAGUGGAUUUUCCUUGACCAAUCUAGUUCUUUUUUCCCCUCACACACCUUUGCAUAGACCAGAACCUAAUGGUCCAAACCCAUUCCAACAUUCCCUCAUUUUACCUUUGACCACUAGGUGGAGAUAUGCCUAUUUUGUCUCCAAAAGACAAUGAGCUAUCUCCUGUCUUUGGGACCCCCAAGGUCCAUAUGACUAUAGAACCAGAAUCAUAUUACCAGUGAGAAAAACACAUAGAACUGGGAUAUGAACUAACAUAUUUAUCAUAGUGUUCCCUAGGCUUUAUUAAAAGUUUUUUAAAAAUUUACCAUGAUUUUAGAUGAUUGAAUCAACAAUCUGCUUACCUACAAUAAAUGCUAUAGGUUUGGAACUACAUGAAUGUGGUUUUUGGCCGAUGAAGAACCACACAAAUCUAAUAAUCAUAAUAAAAAUUAUUUCAUGAACAUGAAGAUGUGAUGGGUAUCUUAAUGGCCUUUGUAGCUUUUAUAAGAUUAUAUUUAAUCUGUAUGGACUAUGUAACUAGAGUAGAUGGAGAUACUUGCUCUGUGAAUGUAUAAUUGACCUUAUUGGACUUUCAGUGAUUCAUUUACUUAUCUAACAGAUAUUUAUUGAGGGCCUCCAAUGUCAGGCCCUUUGCUAAGUAUGGUGUAUACAUUGGUGAACCAAAUACCACAGCCCCUGGCUCACAUUGUGGCCUGUGCCCUGGGUGGUUUUUUUUUUUUUUGUGUGUGUGUGUGUGUGUGUGUGUCUGGCAGAUCCUCAUUACUUGCAAAUUCCAUAUUUGCAAAUUCUCCUAUUUGAGAAAAUAUAUUUGCAAUCUCAAAAUCAAUAUGUGUGGCUCUUUGGUGUCACUUGAAAUGUGCCCAGAGUGACAAAAAUUUGAAUUACAUGUUCCCAGCUAAGUCAAAUGAGACAAUGCUCUGCCUUCUCAUUGAGUAUUACAUUUUGGUGCUUUUUGUGGGUGAUUUUGCUACUUAAGAUCACCUCCAUACUUGAUCUGAAGUGCUGUCUCUAUUUCUAAGUGCAAGAAGGCUGUGUUGGGUCUUUGAAGAAGAUGCGUAUGCCAGGUAAACUUGGUUGAGGCAUGAGUUUUACUGCCAUGGGCCAUGAGUUCAACACUAAUGAAUCAGCACUAUAUAUUAAGGAGUCUCUGAACAGAAAACAUAAAUGAAACAACCAGUGGAUAAAAGAAAAUGUAACCAACAGCUCAUAGGAGCAUAGCCCUGUAUUUCCCCCAGGAGAAAUGGCUCAGUAUUCAUCAACUCGGUGUCCAUGGAGACUUUAUAGACUAUCACUACUGUGAAUAGCAAUAGUUGGCUGUGUGCUUUUUGGAGUAUGAAUGGAACUCUGAAUGGCCCUGAAGAGGGCUGGCAUUGAGAUAUCAGUGUGGCUGCUGGCCCAGCUCUCAAAUGAGAUACAUGCACACAGGAUGGGAGGAGGGACACAUGGAUUAAAGUAACUACAGUGGGAACAAAGAAGUUAUGGAUUUGGAGAGGAUUUCUGAUUUGUGGUCCAGAUGUCCUCAUAUUGCCAUCUGCAUACAAUGCAGGAAGGCACUGAUAAGAAUAGGAAGAGGGAGGAUGGGAAAAUACCUGAGUGUCCCCAUAAAUGCAUACAGAGAAGGGAGAUCAGGAAGAACGACUUAUGGACCCCACUGGUGGGGUGACUGAGAAAGACAAGAUCCAGAACUAAUGUGUCCCAGGUUUCAGGGAUGAUUAUGAUGAAUGUUAAAGAUUUCUUAUCAUUGUCCCCAUUGUUUUUUAACCCUCAAUUUUCCUGCCUUUACCAGGGACAAAUUGCCUCAGAUGACUUCAACAGAAUAUCUUACCUUAUUUAGCAGAGCAAGAAAGAUAUGUGCAGCUGGGUUCCUUCCUGCAGAGCCCGAGUGGGAGAACAAAGAAGAAAAGUAGGUGGUGGCAGCCAAGAAGGAGAGCAGUAGAAAACCUCUGAGGCCACCAGAAAAAGAGAAACAAGGGGGAGUCCUUCACUAAGAAGAAAUUAUACCCAGAUAGUACCCAUAGGUAAAUUAAAUGAUCCCACAGCCAGCCACACAGAGACAGCCACAAAAGAGGGCCUUUAAGAACCACCAGAGGAAGCUCUAGAGACAACAAUGAUCAGGGCUUGUGAAAAAUGCUGGGGUCAACCCAGAGGGCUUUAUUGAUCCAUCAGAGCCAGGAAACAAGGAAGAAGACUCCUGGGCUCGAGGGAGAGGAUAGUGUAAACACCUGUGGGAAAGAACACAGACCUGCCCAGAACCGCUCAGUAACUCCUUUGUUUCUCUAUCUGGGGAAUGAUCUUCCUACUGGGAAGUGUAUAAGAAAAAGAAGCUUAGAGAGUUGUGGAACCCAGAGGGCCAGGAGCCCUGCAGCUUUAACCUCCUGAUAAACGCUGAGAUAGUAAAGUGGACAGACCUGCAAGCUUAGAUGAGCCAGACUCCAGGGAGGGGAACGUGGGCAAAGAGAGAAACAAAAGAUCCCAAAAGGCUCUGAUGUAAUUUUUUAAGAAAACGAGAGAAAGGUGGCAUCCGGGAAGCAUAGACAAGUUAGUGUUUAUUCCUGGCUGAAGAUUAGAAUCUGUCAUGAAGCAGUCAACUUCUCAGCCAUAGGCAUGAGCUGUGAGAAUAGGCCAUGCCAAAGUAACCACACUUUCUGCUUUUGUCGGACUGUCACUAGAUUCACAGAUAGGGGGGAGUUCACAGAGAUCAUGCACAUGGAUGUUGGCCAAGAUGCUCACGGUCCAUGUAAAUGAGAUGGAAAACAUGAAUUUGAUAGGACCACAUUACAGCCAUGGGCUGGAUGACCCCUGACCUGGGGUGCAGGCCAGUUGACAACAAAGGCCCCUCCUAGUUCCAUAACAGGAACACUGAGUUGAUGGCAGUUUUGAGCAAGAAGCUGUUAACUGACUGAAUUUCUAUUAGUGUACUUGGCUCUGGGCAUGCAAAGAUGUGUUGUUUCCCCAAGUGAACCUGUUCCUCAGAGGUGAACCCCCGCAAUUCCACCAAAAGGCCUCUCAAAAACUUGGACAUGACAGCAGCAUUAUUCUUAACAGCCAAAAAAAGGAAAUAACUCAAAUAUCUAUAACUGAAGAGAUAAAUAAAACGUGUAUAGCUACCUUUAAGAUCUGUGCAUUUCUCCAAAUAUAAAUAUCACCUAAUGAAAGAACAAAAACAGAGAAUGUGGCAUAUCCACACAAUGGAAUAUGAUUUGGCAUAAAAGGGAAUUAAAUGCUGGUACACCCUACAACACUGAUGAACCUUUAUUACAUUAUGCUAACUGGGAGGAGACAGUCACAAAAGACUACACAUUGUGUGAUUUUGUUUUCAUUUCUUUGUAUGAAAGGCUUUGAACAGAUAAAAUUACAGAGCCCAGAAAGAUGAGUGAUUGUAGAUGAAUGCAUAAAGAAAAUGUGGUAAAUACAUACAAUGGAGUUUUAUUCAGCUAUUAAGAAAGAUGAAAUAGUGUCAUUUGAAGGAAUAAUGGAUGGAAGUUGAGACCUUUAUGUUAAGGGAAAUAAGCCAAACCUAGAAGGUCAAGGGUCAUAUGUUUUCUCUCACAUAUGGAGGCUAGAGAGAAAAAAGCAAAAGUAAAGUUGGGGGUGAUCACAUGAAAAGCAAAGGGAGAGUGGAACAGAGGAAAGUGACCAGGUAUGGGAGGA